UACGGAGGGGGUUAGCGUUGUUCGGAAUUACUGGGCGUAAAGCGUACGUAGGCGGAUCAGAAAGUUGGGGGUGAAAUCCCGGGGCUCAACCCCGGAACUGCCUCCAAAACUCCUGGUCUUGAGUUCGAGAGAGGUGAGUGGAAUUCCAAGUGUAGAGGUGAAAUUCGUAGAUAUUUGGAGGAACACCAGUGGCGAAGGCGGCUCACUGGCUCGAUACUGACGCGUGAGGUAACGGAAAAGUGUGGGGAAGCAAACAGGAUUAGAUACCCGGGUACCC
rnacentral:rRNA from 1 species